UUAAAAUGUAAAUUUUAAGACUAAAUUAUUAAUAGAUAUGUUCUUUAAAGUUAAAGAAUUUGGCGGUAUCUUAGUCUAUUUAGAGGAACCUGUUCUGUAAUUGAUAGUCCACGAUUUAUUAUACUUGUUAUAUUAGUUUAUAUAUCGUCGUAGUUUGAAUAUUUUAAGAGAAUAGUAAUAUUCAAGAUUCUUUAUAAAGAAUAAAAUCAGAUCAAGGUGUAGCUUAUGAACAAGAAGAAAUGGGUUACAAUAAAUUUAUUUAUAUGGUAUAAAUAUUUGAAAAAUAUUUAUUAAAGUGGAUUUAAAAGUAAUAUAGUUUAAUUUAUCUGUAUGAUUUUAGCUCUAAGAUAUGU
rnacentral:rRNA from 1 species